rnacentral:lncRNA from 1 species
CUCAUGUGUGAUGGUGUGUUUGCCUCCUUCUCUUUCCUCAGCCUCCUGCUCACACAGAUCAACUUGACCUUUCAUUAGGUCACUUCAUAAUUGAUGGAAAUGUCCCAGGAAUCCACGGUUGCUGAAGAACACUUUGGAAUGUCCCCAGCAUCUUGCAAAGCCCUUCACUUCUGGAAUUUUGGGGACACCGGAACCUUGCCAAGGGAAGCAGUCUUGAAG